rnacentral:misc_RNA from 1 species
GGCAACACGCACUUCAUAACUGAACAUGCAAAGCAUAAAAUAUAAUUAAAAAUAAAAUGGGCUAUGACUUAUGCAUCCAUGAGGUGAUAGUGGCAUUUUUAAAACACUGCAUCAAAGGCAAAUGUGGCAGUGAUGUUAAUGCAUGUCUUGGAACAUGUUACACCAAAUACUGCCAGAGUAAUCAAGAAACCAAUAAAGCUGUCAUGUAGCAGUUAAAAAAAUUCCAUCUCUAUAGACAUACACUUUCUUUGUUUCAAUUCCAAAACACAAAAUUUUGUACAAUUCAAUUGAAUUUUAUGUUUUA